GAAAAGAACUUUGAAGAGAGAGUUCAAUAGUACGUGAAACCGUUCAGAGGUAAACGGACAGGGCCGCAAAGUUCGCUGCGCGGAUUCAACCGGUGAGUGGUCGUCUUUGCGCUGUGAAGGCAUUCGUCUAGGCGGAGAGUUCCGGUGUAAAGCUUAACGACCACGAUCGGUGCACUUUCGCGCGGUGAAGCGCCGCGACCGGUUGAUCGGCGGUAAGAAACGCCACGGUCAGGUGACGUCGUUUCGCAAGAAUCGGUGAGUUAUAGACCUGGAAGCUAAUUGCCCGUUGAAAGACCGAGGAGGACCGAGCUCAGGCGUUCUCGCCUUCGUAUUACGGCCGAGCGUUCGAGUGAGAAGGACUGCACAAGCAGUGCUUUUCGACCGCGCUUGGUUGAUCGUGCGAAGCGUCGAUGGGCGUACUAUUGACGAGGGGUCUGCGGCGAUUCGGUCGGUAGCCUGUCCGACCCGUCUUGAAACACGGACCAAGGAGUCUAACACGUGCGCGAGUCUAAGGGUCGUACGAAACCCGUUUGACGUAAUGAAAGUGAAAGCGGCCUUUCUAAGGUUCGUCAGGUGGGAUCCCGAAGCCGGAGACGGUGACGGGCGCACCACCAGCCCGUUUCAGCCGCCGCGUCGGCGAGGCGGAGCAAGAGUGUACGCGUUGG
rnacentral:rRNA from 1 species